GAUCUCUACCUAAAGCGUGGGAUUUUGAGGAUUUGAGAGGACUCACAAGUUGAUGCCUCCCGACACUAGAUCUCCAAGGGCUCUUUCAGACCCUCGGAGUGGAGUGACCUCCCCCGGGAGAAGGGAGGACAUCUGGGAGCCGCUUGAAAUCCCACCUUUGUUGCUCAAAAGAGUCCAACUCUCUGACCAGCCCAGAGUCUAUCUGGAUCAUGGCCAGUUGCUGCCCAUCUCUUCUCCAAGCUCCAGGUAUCACCUGGCUCUCCAAUUUCUCCAGUAGUGUCCAUGCCAGCAACUGCCGCCCCACCCAGGGUAUGGCCCUGAAGCCUUCUUUGUGGAGUAGAGACCACACAUCUGGGAACCUACAGAGAAUGACAAAACACCUAAAUUCUCUUGUGCUCCCUUCCCCUUCUCUGGAGUUGCUUUUACUUCAAAUGUUCCAAUGUUUAAAACAUUAAAUCGAGG